UGGCGUAGUGAUUAAAGCACUUGGCUGCUGACCAAGAGGUUGGUGGUUCAAACCCACC
rnacentral:tRNA from 1 species